rnacentral:rRNA from 1 species
AUUGAACGCUGGCGGCAGGCCUAACACAUGCAAGUCGAGCGAGCGGCGGACGGGUGAGUAAUGUCUGGGAAACUGCCUGAUGGAGGGGGAUAACUACUGGAAACGGUAGCUAAUACCGCAUACCAUCAGAUGUGCCCAGAUGGGAUUAGCGAUUAGGUGGGGUAACGGCUCACCUAGGCGACGAUCCCUAGCUGGUCUGAGAGGAUGACCAGCCACACUGGAACUGAGCCACGGUCCAGACUCCUACGGGAGGCAGCAGUGGGGAAUAUUGCACAAUGGGCGCAAGCCUGAUGCAGCAAUGCCGCGUGUGUGAAGAAGGCCUUCGGUUUGUAAAGUACUUUCAGCGGGGAGGCGUUACCCGCCGAAGAAGCACCGGCUAACUCCGUGCCAGCAGCCGCGGUAAUUC